GAUCAUGGCUCAGGAUGAACGCUGACAGAAUGCUUAACACAUGUAAGUCGAUGGGGAAGUGGUGCUUGCACCAUGGUAACCAUGGCGGACGGGUGAGUAACGCGUAAGGAACUUGCCUGCGGGACCGGGAUAACAGCAGGAAACUGCUGACAAGACCGGAUAAGGUCAUUAAGCCGCAUAGCUUAGUGAUGAAAGGAGACGCCUGCGGAGAGCCUUGCGUCCUAUUAG
rnacentral:rRNA from 1 species